rnacentral:rRNA from 1 species
UACGUAGGGUGCGAGCGUUAAUCGGAAUUACUGGGCGUAAAGCGUGCGCAGGCGGUUCGUUAAGUCAGAUGUGAAAGCCCCGGGCUCAACCUGGGAACUGCAUUUGAAACUGGCGGGCUUGAGUAUGGCAGAGGGGAGACUGGAAUUCUCGGUGUAGCAGUGAAAUGCGUAGAUAUCGAGAGGAACACCAGUGGCGAAGGCGAGUCUCUGGACGACCCCUGACACUGAGGCACGAAAGCUAGGGGAGCAAACAGG